GGAUUACAGGUGUGAGCCACUGCGCCCGGCCUGAACUCUGAUUUUUUAAGGUAACUAUUCUGGCAGCUUUGGAACCAUUCUUUUAAAAACCUUAAAGGAUUUUCCCCCACCAAAAGCCCCAUCAGAAUGUGGUCACCAUCACCCCUGGAUGACCACCUUCUCAUCUGCCCUUACACUGUCACUCUGGUUUGAAGUUGCUACACAUUCUGGAUGUAAUGAGUGCAUUGAACGUAUUGCCCUCUAAACUAUUAAACAAUUGAAAAUUCAAUGAGGGCAACCAAUGUUUAUAAAUGAGUCAGAAGUGUUUAAAAUGCAGACAUUUAGAAAAAGUCCCAAGAAUAAGAAAUUCCCAGAAUAAUUUAUUACCUAUACAUUUCAAUUUUCUUUGGAAGUUCUAACGCUCAACAAACAUUAAUCAAAUUAUCUCACUAUCUUUUAGGUUGCUUCCCCCGUUUCACAAAUUGUGAUUCAGCACAAGUUAAAUGACUUGUUGCUGGGGUCAUAGGGAUAAUAUAAAUUUAAAUAAUUCACUAUUUCAGCCCUCUCUCCUGCCACUUGUUAGAAUGAGAGAGUUGAGCAGUUGCGAUCGAGACUGUGUGGCCCAUAAAGCCUAAGAGAUUUAGUACCCAGCCCUUUAUGGAAAAAGUUUACUAAACUGUGACCUAGAAUUCCACCCCCUGCCUUUAUUUUUAAUAUGAUACUGAUUACUCAAAGAGUCCAGGACAAUCGCUUAUAGAAAAUCUCUUCUUUUAGAUUGAUCUGAUUAUAUACAUUUACACAUUAAACUUUUAUUUGAAGUUUCACAUAUGAUGUGAUUGUGUGUAUAUACAGAUAUUUGAAAGAUAUAUAUAUAUAUAUCUUUUUUUUUUUUUGAGACAGAAUCUGGCUCUGUUUCCUAGGCUGGAGUGCAGUGGCACCAUCUCGGCUCACUGCAGCCUUGACCUCCAGGGCUGAAGUGAUCCUCCCACCCCAGCCUCCUGAGUAGCUGGGACUACAGGCAUGUACCAUCAGGCCUGGCUAAUUUUUGUAUUUUUUGUAGAGACGGGGUUUCAUCAUGUUGCCCAGGCUGGUCUCAAACUGCUGAGCUUAAGCAGUCUGCCUGCCUCAGCCUCCCAAAGUGCUGGGAUUAUAGGUGUGAGCCACUGUGCUCAGCCAUAUAUAUAUAUAUAUAUAUAUAUAUAUAUAUAUAUAUAUAUAUAUAUAUAUGUAGUUAGGUAAAAAAUAUUUAUGAGAUUAUCAAUGCUCUAUGAGACAUUGUUAAACAACUUUUUACUUGUCAAAAACUAUAAAUGAAAUUGAGGCUGGGUACAGUGGCUUACUCCUGUAAUCCCAGCGCUUUGGGAUGCUGAGGCAGGAGGAUCCUUUGAGGCCAGGAGUCUGAGACCAGCUUGGACAAUAUAGGGAGACCCUCAUCUAAAAAAAAGAAACAACUGUAAGUGAAAUUGAAAAGCAAAUGAUGAAUCAGAAAAAUAAUUACAAUACCAAGGUCUUGUCUCUUCCCACACUUUAUUUUUCAGGAAGGAGAGAAAAAGA
rnacentral:lncRNA from 1 species